rnacentral:rRNA from 1 species
GAUGAACGCUGGCGGCGUGCCUAAUACAUGCAAGUCGAGCGAACAGAUAAGGAGCUUGCUCCUUUGACGUUAGCGGCGGACGGGUGAGUAACACGUGGAUAACCUACCUAUAAGACUGGGAUAACUUCGGGAAACCGGAGCUAAUACCGGAUAACAUAUUGAACCGCAUGGUUCAAUAGUGAAAGGCGGCUUUGCUGUCACUUAUAGAUGGAUCCGCGACGUAUUAGCUAGUUGGUAAGGUAACGGCUUACCAAGGCAACGAUACGUAGCCGACCUGAGAGGGGGAUCGGCCACACUGGAACUGAGACACGGUCCAGACUCCUACGGGAGGCAGCAGUAGGGAAUCUUCCGCAAUGGGCGAAAGCCUGACGGAGCAACGCCGCGUGAGUGAUGAAGGUCUUCGGAUCGUAAAACUCUGUUAUCAGGGAAGAACAAAUGUGUAAGUAACUGUGCACAUCUUGACGGUACCUGAUCAGAAAGCCACGGCUAACUACGUG